GCUGGGUGUGGUUGUGCAUGCCUGUAAUCCCAGCAUCUUGGGAGGCUGAGGCAGGAGGACCUUGAGUUCAAAGCUAGCCUCAGCAAUUUAUCGAGGACUUAAGCAACUCAGUGAGACCCUGUUUCUA
rnacentral:sRNA from 1 species